CCUACGGGCGGCAGCAGUGAGGAAUAUUGGUCAAUGGACGAGAGUCUGAACCAGCCAAGUAGCGUGAAGGAUGACUGCCCUAUGGGUUGUAAACUUCUUUUAUAUGGGAAUAAAACGUUCCACGUGUGGGAUUUUGUAUGUACCAUAUGAAUAAGGAUCGGCUAACUCCGUGCCAGCAGCCGCGGUAAUACGGAGGAUCCGAGCGUUAUCCGGAUUUAUUGGGUUUAAAGGGAGCGUAGGUGGAUUGUUAAGUCCGUUGUGAAAGUUUGGGGCUCAACCGUAAAAUUGCAGUUGAAACUGGCAGUCUUGAGUACAGUAGAGGUGGGCGGAAUUCGUGGUGUAGCGGUGAAAUGCUUAGAUAUCACGAAGAACUCCGAUUGCGAAGGCAGUUCACUGGACUGCAACUGACACUGAGGCUCGAAAGUGUGGGUAUCAAACAGGAUUAGAUACCCUGGUAGUC
rnacentral:rRNA from 1 species